UCCCUAGUGGCCUAGUGGCUAAGGACUCAGUAUUGUUACUGCUGUGGCUCGGGUUUGAUCCCUGGCUUGGGAA
rnacentral:tRNA from 1 species